AUUGAACGCUGGCGGCAUGCCUAACACAUGCAAGUCGAACGGCAGCACGGGAGCUUGCUCCUGGUGGCGAGUGGCGGACGGGUGAGUAAUGCAUAGGAAUCUGCCCAGUAGCGGGGGACAACUUGGGGAAACUCAAGCUAAUACCGCAUGCGCCCUACGGGGGAAAGCGGGGGACCUUCGGGCCUCGCACUAUUGGAUGAGCCUAUGUCAGAUUAGCUUGUUGGUGGGGUAACGGCCUACCAAGGCGACGAUCUGUAGCUGGUCUGAGAGGACGAUCAGCCACACUGGGACUGAGACACGGCCCAGACUCCUACGGGAGGCAGCAGUGGGGAAUAUUGCACAAUGGGCGAAAGCCUGAUGCAGCCAUGCCGCGUGUGUGAAGAAGGCCCUAGGGUUGUAAAGCUCUUUUACCAGGGAUGAUAAUGACAGUACCUGGAGAAUAAGCUCCGGCUAACUCCGUGCCAGCAGCCGCGGU
rnacentral:rRNA from 1 species